GCAGUCAUCGCCUGUAAAUUAUGUAAAAGUUUAAUAAUCGUCGCGGAGCGCUGACAGAUCGUAAACGCCUUUCAUUUACAAAUUAAUCACCGAAACUCUGGCACAGCCAUAUGCCGAUCAUGUCGACUUUUAGCAGCGUCCUGUAUAAGACCUCGUCAUAGUUGACGUUCAUGAAAAGAUGAUAGAGGAAAGAUCCGACCCACGGACUAACGGCGCCGAUCAAAUGGCACCAGGACAGAAUCCCCACGAGCGUUCCUUUUGUGUUCCAUGGAAGCAGAUGUGGUAUAGUCACUAGCAUGUACAGGAUAGCAAAUCCUGGGAACACACAUUUGACGAAAUCCGUGCUUGUGGCAGUCUAGCAAUCGAUCACCGGAAUCGUAAUUUUCGAAAGGACUCGCCACAUGACGCAGGAAGAAAUCCGCAGAGCGUGCAGUGCAUCACAGACUCACCGUGCGUCAGGAUGUUGACGGUCUCAUUGUGGAUGUAGAAGAGGCUGCCGAGGCACUGGC